rnacentral:rRNA from 1 species
UACGGAGGGUGCAAGCGUUAUCCGGAUUUACUGGGUUUAAAGGGUGUGUAGGCGGACUUUUAAGUCAGCGGUGAAAUCUCCGGGCUCAACCCGGAAACUGCCAUUGAUACUAUUUGUCUUGAAUGUUGUUGAGGUGGGCGGAACGGGUCAUGUAGCGGUGAAAUGCAUAGAUAUGACCCGGAACACCGAUUGCGAAGGCAGCCCACUAAGCAACGAUUGACGCUGAGGCACGAAAGCGUGGGGAUCAAACAGG